CCUCGUCAGGACCUGGCUCUGCCCUCGGAGUCAGUCUGGAUCCAGGAGUGAUUCAUCUUACACAGAUGAGAGGGGGAUAAAAGGAAAAGAACAGUCAGGACAAAUGUGUUUUCAAUGGUGCUUAGCAGCAGGAGACCACUGGGACUUCAGAGCAACGCUACUGGAGUGUGACAUCAUAAUACGCCAAAUACCAGAGUCUCUCGCCUCUUGGAGUUUAUGGGCCAAUUUCUCCCAAGAUGUGUGAGCUUGUUGUGCCGCCGCCAGUGGACUCGCCAGCGGCUGAGCAGCUCAGAGUGACAGCGACUCAGCGUCUGGAAGCCCCACUGGGUUGUGAAAUGAAGAAGGCCUUCUUUGCCCCUGAUGCAGCCUGGGCGAGCCCCGAGGCUCCAGAAGCGAGCAUCUCCCAGCUCCUAAAGAGCAGACAUAUAUCCUGCCUUUAAGACAAGACUACAAUUGCAAAUCUGAGAAUAUAAAUUACACUUUCAUCUUUAAAAAAAAAAAAAAAAA
rnacentral:lncRNA from 1 species